CAGGGCGUGACAAGAUGACAACAGCACAGCGGGGUUUUAGAAGUAAGUUUUAAAUAUUUAAUAUAUUUUGCAUAGGUUUCUUGUUGUCUAGUUUGUUACAGCCUAAUUAGUCAUUACUGUUAGGGAGGUUUGCAAGUUUUUGUCGUAGUAAUCGUGUAGCUUGCAGUUUACUAUGGUUUGAUGCUUAAUUUUUCUUGGGUGUUUUUGUAAGUAACGUAUGUCUUAAUUUAAUGUUAUUGCACAAUGCACAAAACUGUUCAGAAUCUUUCAGUUUAUAUUAUUCUGGUUAACCUUAUGAAGCAUGUACUUAUAGGAACAGUGAUUAAUAAGGCACUUAUUUAUGCAGUUAAUUCAUAAUUUACAAAAUACGAUUUGUUUAAAAAAGGCAAUACAUUUAUGUUGCCUAACAGUCACUUGAGAAAUAAUUCUAGAAAAAUAAUGUGUACAGACAUUUUCACAGACAUUGUUAAUGUAACUGUUACAUCUGCAUGUAAAUUAUAUAUAUAAAAGCAGCUUUCUGGCAACAGGUGGUGUGCUUUAUUAAUAUAUUUAAAAUGUUCAUAUCUAAUGCAUUUUGACAUCCCUUAUAUUUAUCUUUAUGUAAGAGUUAUACUUUUAUUUUAGUGAGAGGGUUAUGUUUGUGUUUAAGCAGACAUUGCAAGCAGGCCAAGCACUUAUAGCUUUACAUGGCUGGAGUCAAUACUACCUCACCAAAAUUACAACUAAUGUUUGGCUUAAUCCUUGCCUAAUCACAGUGUUUUUCCCUUUUAUUAUUUCUCUUUUUGUAGGUCCAUCAGAGUGAUUUUCUGAGUUCUUUCACAUGCUGUAUGGUAAGAGUGAAUUUCUGCCAGUUGAUACCGGUGACAGGUGUUAAUUAUUAAGUUUAUCUUUGUAUUUUUUAUUAAAGGUCAGCGAAUGGAUGGAUUAUCCAGUCAAGGUACAGAAUGAAAGGUAAAUGGCAAGUAACUAAGUAAUGUACUAAAUGUAUAAACUGUAGUGUAUUCAGUAGCUACUAAUCACAUUACCUCUAUCACUCUCUCUAAAAAACUUGACUGAGUUAGAAGAAGCUGGGCGACUCUUCAGAGUGAAGAUGUUAUGUGCCUGCUUUCGAACCACACCCGUGGAGAUAUCUGCCAACAAAUGGACAAUCAUUCAUGGGGCUACAGAUGGGGCUGCAUUCAAGAAUUUUCAAUAUGCAGUUAUGUCAAAGCUCUCGUUUCGGCUGGCCAGAUUGGAACAGACCUGAAUGGGAAGAUGGCAGAGCUAAGACUGACAAUGUCCAGUAAAAAUGUUAACUAAAAAUGAGUGUUUUUCCUCAGCGAGUGAGUUUGGGAAUGUUUUAAAUGUUCCUAAAAGUUUGAAAAUGUAAUACUGAGGGAAAAAAGUGAGCGCUUUGAAAAGGCUUUAAAAAGAAAAUAAAGUCUGAAGUUGAUGGUAAAUGAAUUUAAAGUUUUUACUUGAAAAGUUUGUACUUGUUUGUACUUGUCAAGUCUGUGCUGAAAAAAAUGGAGUAAAGUUUGUAUUUGAAAAGACUUGGAAUUGUGUGUUCUGUAGAAUGAGUACACAUAUAUGUGCAGGCUGUAUAAAAAAACAUAUGAUGACACCAUGCCACUUAUAUAAGUGAAAGUACAUGGUGUCAUCAUAUUUGAAGCAUAUUUGUAUCCCUAAUAUAAGUGAAGGUACAUGGUGUCAUCAUAUUUUAAGCAUAUUUGUAUCCCUAAUAUAAGUGAAAGUACAUGGUGGCAUCAUAUAAGAAGCAUAUUUGUAUCCCUAAUAUAAGUGAAAGUACAUGGUGGCAUCAUAUAAGAAGCAUAUUUGUAUCCCUAAUAUAAGUGAAAGUACAUGGUGGCAUCAUAUAAGAAACAUAUUUGUAUCCCUAAUAUAAGUGAAAGUAUGUACUAUGGAAAUAAGUACAUAUAUGCAUGUAUACAUAUAUGUGUCUUGCAUAUAUUUCACAUGUAUGUCCAUAUAUGGGAAAAUAUAUGGCACUUACAUGAA